GAUUAGCUAGUUGGUAGGGUAAGGGCCUACCAAGGCGACGAUCGGUAGCUGGUCUGAGAGGAUGACCAGCCACACUGGAACUGAGACACGGCCCAGACUCCUACGGGAGGCAGCAGUGGGGAAUAUUGGACAAUGGGGGCAACCCUGAUCCAGCAAUGCCGCGUGUGUGAAGAAGGCCUGAGGGUUGUAAAGCACUUUCAGUGGGGAGGAGGAUUGGUUGGUUAAGAGCUGAUUAAUUGGACGUCACCCACAGAAGAAGCACCGGCUAACUCCGUGCCAGCAGCCGCGGUAAUACGGAGGGUGCGAGCGUUAAUCGGAAUUACUGGGCGUAAAGGGUGCGUAGGUGGUUGGAUAAGUUAUCUGUGAAAUCCCUGGGCUCAACCUGGGCAGGUCAGAUAAGACUGUUUGACUCGAGUAUAGGAGAGGGUAGUGGAAUUUCCGGUGUAGCGGUGAAAUGCGUAGAGAUCGGAAGGAACACCAGUGGCGAAGGCGGCUACCUGGCCUGAUACUGACACUGAAGCACGAAAGCGUGGGGAGCAAACAGGAUUAGAUACCCUGGUAGUCCACGCUGUAAACGAUGUCAACUAGUUGUUGG
rnacentral:rRNA from 1 species